GGCCAGACUCCUACGGGAGGCAGCAGUGGGGAAUAUUGCACAAUGGGGGAAACCCUGAUGCAGCAACGCCGCGUGAGUGAAGAAGUAUUUCGGUAUGUAAAGCUCUAUCAGCAGGGAAGAAAAUGACGAUACCUGACUAAGAAGCCCCGGCUAACUACGUGCCAGCAGCCGCGGUAAUACGUAGGGGGCAAGCGUUAUCCGGAUUUACUGGGUGUAAAGGGAGCGUAGACGGCAUGGCAAGUCAGAUGUGAAAGCCCGGGGCUCAACCCCGGGACUGCAUUUGAAACUGUCAGGCUGGAGUGCAGGAGAGGUAAGUGGAAUUCCUAGUGUAGCGGUGAAAUGCGUAGAUAUUAGGAGGAACACCAGUGGCGAAGGCGGCUUACUGGACUGUAACUGACGUUGAGGCUCGAAAGCGUGGGGAGCAAACAGGAUUAGAUACCCCAGUAC
rnacentral:rRNA from 1 species